UAUUCAUUAAAUUGUUUUACAAUUAUUGAUCCAGGAGGAGAAGGAGAUAAGAAAAGAAUUCAGGAAAUUGGAUUCUGAUUCUAGUGGAUAUAUUACCAGAGAUGAGAUGUUAGCAGUCCUCACAAACUGCGAUCACUUCACGGGCGACAAGAUGGACGAAGCUAAAAAGUGUGUCGAUGAACUGGACGUUGACAGGAAU